rnacentral:rRNA from 1 species
UAAGGGCAUGCAGGUGGAUACCUUGGUUCCACAGGCGAUGAAGGACGUGCAAAGCUGCGAAAAGCUUCGGGGAGCUGCUAAGAAGCGAUGAUCCGGAGGUAUCCGAAUGGGGAAACCCCCACGCCGUCAUGGGCGUGGACACUGAGAUGAAUUCAAUAGUCUCAAGUGGGCUCACCCGGUGAACUGAAACAUCUAAGUAGCCGGAGGAAAAGACAUCAACCGAGAUUCCCGUAGUAGUGGCGAGCGAAAUGGGAACAGCCUAAACCGUUCAUGUGCAAGCGUUCGGGCGUUGCAUGAGCGGGGUUGUACGACUGCCGUCUCAGAGCCGAAUCUCUGGGCACGAGUUACAAAAUCGAUCGAUAAUAGAAGCCGGCUGGAAAGCCGCACCAUAGAAGGUGAUAGUCCUGUAGAUGAAAUCGUUCGAUCUCGUGGAGCAGUUCGUGAGUAGGGCGGGGCACGAGAAACCCUGUCUGAAACUGGGAGGACCAUCUUCCAAGGCUAAAUAUUCUGUGGAAACCGAUAGCGUACUAGUACCGUGAGGGAAAGGUGAAAAGAACCCCCAAAGGGGAGUGAAAUAGAACAUGAAACCGCAUGCCUACAAACCGUGAAAGGCCCAUGCGCAAGCAAGGCUGAUCGCGUGCCUAUUGAAGAAUGAACCUGCGAGUUACUUGUAACGGGCUUGGUUAAGGCGUUGAGCCGGAGCCGUAGCGAAAGCGAGUCUGAAUAGGGCGUUCGUCCGUUGCAGUAGACCCGAAACCGAGUGAUCUAUCCAUGGCCAGGGUGAAGCAUGAUUAAACUCAUGUGGAGGCCCGAACCUGUUGUUGUUGAAAAAACAUUGGAUGAGCUGUGGAUAGGGGUGAAAAGCCAAUCGAACUCGGAGAUAGCUGGUUCUCCCCGAAAUAGUUUUAGGACUAGCGUCGCGCGUUAACCCACGGGGGUAGAGCACUGACAGGGCUAGGGGUCUUACCAGAUUACCGAACCCCAUCAAACUCCGAAUACCGUGGCGGACUGCGCGGCAGUCAGACUGUGGGGGAUAAGCUCCAUGGUCAAAAGGGAAACAGCCCAGAUCAACAGCUAAGGUCCCUAAUCGAUGCUCAGUGGUAAAGGAAGUCUCGUCGCAUAGACAGCUAGGAGGUUGGCUUAGAAGCAGCCACCCUUGAAAGAGUGCGUAAUAGCUCACUAGUCGAGUGAUGGGGCGCCGAAAAUUCAACGGGGCUCAAGCAUCGAACCGAAGCUUUGGGAUUAAUGAAUAACUAAUCGGUAGGGGAGCGUUGUGGCGUAGGCUGAAGCACGACCGUAAGGACGUGUGGACGAACCACAAGUGCGAAUGCAGGUAUAAGUAGCGAGAAAAGAGAGUGAGAACCUCUCUCGCCGGAAGUCUAAGGUUUCCUGAGCAACGUCAAUCGUCUCAGGGUGAGUCGGGAGCUAAGCCGAGGCUGAGAAGCGUAGGCGAUGCACAAGCAGUUCAUAUUCUGCUACCACCGACGACCGUUUAGACUUUGCCGGACAGUGUUGUUCGCGAGACGUCGCGCUUUGUGAGGGCUUGCCCUCGCGAAGUAUUUUUGAUCGAGCGCUAGGAGCCGGCGAGGGAGCGAUCUACAGAUCGUGACCGAGUCCGCGACGACGCGAUCGACAAAAAGACGAGCAGCGUGCAAUACCGCCUGUCAAAGUCUAUGAAUUGAAGGGGUGACGCAGGAGGAUAGGUCAGCGCGCUGAUGGAUGUGCGCGUUCAAGCAGGUAGGCGGUGUUGUAGGAAAAUCCGCAACACUAACGCCGAGAGGCGAAUACGAGGCUCUUCGGAGCCGAAGUGACUGACUCCACGCUGCCAAGAAAAGCCUCUAAAUAGGAUCGUAGGUGCCCGUACCGUACACCGACACAGGUAGACUGGCAGAGCAUGCUAAGGCGACGGGAGAAUCCCUGUUAAGGAACUCGGCAAAUUGACCCCGUAACCUAGGGAGAAGGGGUGCCUUCUUCGGUCUAGACUUUACGUCGAAAGCUGAGGGAGGUCGCAGAAAAUAGGCCCAAGCGACUGUUUAACAAAAACACAGGUCUCUGCGAAUGCGAAAGCAGACGUAUAGGGGCUGACUCCUGCCCGGUGCUGGAAGGUUAAAGGGACGGGUUAGCGCAAGCGAAGCUCGGAACUGAAGCCCCAGUAAACGGCGGCGGUAACUAUAACCGUCCUAAGGUAGCGAAAUUCCUUGUCGGGUAAGUUCCGACCUGCACGAAUGGAGUAACGACUUGGGCACUGUCUCAAUGGGGAUCCCGGCGAAAUUGCAGUACCAGUGAAGAUGCUGGUUACCCGCAGCAGGACGGAAAGACCCCGUGAAGCUUUACUGUAUCCUGAUCUUGGGUUUUGAGAUUGUCUGUACAGGAUAGGUGGGAGCCGUUGAUCCGAAGGCGCUAGUUUUCGGGGAGGCAACGUUGGGAUACCACCCUGAUGAUCUUGGGAUUCUAACUAGCUACCGUAAUCCGGUAGUAGGACAUGGUCAGGUGGGCAGUUUGACUGGGGCGGUCGCCUCCCAAAGAGUAACGGAGGCGCCCAAAGGUUCCCUCAGAACGGUCAGAAACCGUUCUCACAGAGUGCAUAGGCAUAAGGGAGCUUGACUGCGAGACGAACAUGUCGAGCAGGUGCGAAAGCAGGGCUAAGUGAUCCGGCGGUACCGAAUGGAAGGGCCGUCGCUUAUCGGAUAAAAGCUACUCCGGGGAUAACAGGCUUAUCUCCCCCAAGAGCUCACAUCGACGGGGAGGUUUGGCACCUCGAUGUCGGAUCGUCGCAUCCUGGGGCUGUAGUUGGUCCCAAGGGUUGGGCUGUUCGCCCAUUAAAGCGGUACGCGAUCUGGGUUCAGAACGUCGUGAGACAGUUCGGUCCCUAUCCGCUGUGGGCGUAGGAGAUUUGAGGAGUGUGGACCCUAGUACGAGAGGACCGGGUCGAACGAACCGCUGGUGAACCGGUUGUCCCGCCAGGGGCAUAGCCGGGUAGCUAUGUUCGGAUCAGAUAAGCGCUGAAAGCAUAUAAGCGCGAAACUGACUUCAAGAUGAGAUCUCAAUCUCGAAAGAGUGAAGAGUCGUGGUAGACCACCACGUUGAUAGGCCGGGGGUGGAAGCACUGCAAGGUGUGGAGCUGACCGGUACUAAUCGCUCGGAAAUUUUUAGA